rnacentral:lncRNA from 1 species
GAUCUCAGACAAAGAGUAAAUCAAGAUGAUCAACACACAAAGCGUAUAAUAUGUACCGAGAGGGAUCAAGUGAUCCCAUGGUAUGGUAAGCAUUGUCCAUUACGUGUUUGUGUACUAACCCAUGGUCUUUGUGAGACUCCUAUGUGGGGGUUAGGUGUGCUUCCAUUGGGCUUGCGUCAAAAGGAAGAUCUCAUACAACCCAUGAAGGAUGACGUCAAGUGGUGGUCGUCAUCAAGAUUGUGGUGUGCAAGUUCAAGUGGAUCAGCACGAAUAUAUCAUUGAAACUAUUAUCAAUGAUCAUGUGUUGAUAAGGACAACCUCAUGUGCUAACAAGGACAAGAUCAAGAUAAGCAUUCCUGAGCACUACAUGCUUGAUUCUUGUGGAUGUUCACAUGGUGGACAAAUGAAGAUGAAUACAUAAGCUAGGCUUUUCGCAUUGUGUAUGGGAGGGCUACUUGAAGACUUUAUCAUGUCUUGCUUUCAACUUGAGCCAAGAAGGAACAACAACAUCAAGCUCAAGUGAAAGGGCUAACUCAAAGGUAUCAGUUCCUUUGACGUUAGUGGUGCGGAGUGAUGAUCAACGAAUAAAAGUAUACACUCAAGUAUGGAUCAUCAGUACCCUUUUAUGAUUCUUGAGUCCUUAGGGAUCCCGCACUAUUAAGAGGGGAUCACAGGUUUUGCGAUGAACUUGCUCAAACUACAUCUCCACUGUUCUGCUCAGACCACAUCUCCACUGCUCUGCUGUUAUCUGAAAACAGAACCAGUGCCUCGGACAUCCGGCUUCCUCCGGACGUCCGAGGGCCGAACGACCGACAGCUUCGGAAAUCCGGAAUCCUAUACCACAGAAAUCAGAGCCAUAUAACUCGAACUUCCGGCUCCCUCCGGACGUCCGAGGCCCAGAUAUCUGACCAGCUUCGGAAUUCCGGAACUAUGCACCAGAGAAACUUGAGCCAUAUAACUCGGACAUCCGGCUCCUUCCGGACGUCCGAGGGCCGGUCAAGGUUCGGACGACCGACAGGCUUCGGAAAUCCAGAGCCCUGCACCAGAAGAACAUGAGCUCUACAACUCAGAUUUCAGGCUCCCUCCGGACGUCCGAGGGCCGGACGUCCGUCCCCUUUCGGAAAUCCGGAACCUCCCACCAGAAGAAGUUGAGUCGAAUAACUCGGAUUUCCGACCUUCUCCGGACAUCCGGUGCCUGUUCAACUCACUGUGUUUCCACACAUAUCUACAGCUCUCGGAUGACCGACCCCUUUCGGACGUCCGACCCCUCGCAGACGCCCGGACUUCCGGAAACUGUCGGACGUCCGGACCCUGUGUGACUUAAAGUGUCCCCGACGGCUGUUUUUCUCUCCCCACUAUAAAUACCCCCUCUCACUUCGUGAGAGGGCUGCCCAACACAGCCUUAUCCUCAUAAGAGCACACUUCUACCUCACACACAUUUUCUCACACCAAAUCUUAGAUCCCAAGAGCAUUUGUGAGCCCCUUUGAGAGUUGUUCCAAUCAAAAGAUAGAUCAUCUCCCUCUCCUCCUCNNNNNNNNNNNNNNNNNNNNNNNNNNNNNNNNNNNNNNNNNNNNNNNNNNNNNNNNNNNNNNNNNNNNNNNNNNNNNNNNNNNNNNNNNNNNNNNNNNNNNNNNNNNNNNNNUCCAAUCAAAAGAUAGAUCGUCUCCCUCUCCUUCUCUCAACCCAAGCUAUUUGAGAUUUGAGCAAGUUUUGAGCAUUCCCCGUGAUCUUGUUACUCUUGGAGGUUGGAGACUCCUAGGCGGUAGGAGUCCUUCGGAGAGGAAUCAAUUCGUGUGAUUACCCCCCAGAAAAGUUUGUGAGGGUUUGUAAGCCACCUCAAAGGAUUACCACUAGUGGUUGAGAAACGCCUUCGUGGUGUUAUCUCAAAGGGAGAAUAGGGUGAGCCUUCGUGGUGUUGGUGUGCCUUCGUNCGUGUCCUCUUGAUCAAAAUAUCUUGUUUCUCCCUAGUUGCUCUAUGACUAAUCAUUUAGGGGAAAUCAAGAAAUAUGAAGUACUUUUGACUAAUGAAGAAUCUGAUUCACCAAAAGAAUCAUCAUCAACUCCUCCAGUUCACAUGUGCCUCAUGGCAAGAGAUAAUAAUGAGGUAUCAUCUUCCCUGUGCAAUAACGAUGAUAUUUGCGAUGAGGAUGAGGAUGAUGAUUUGAUCGAAAAUAUCUAUGUGAUCAGUAAAAUUCUUCAUAAAGCUAAAAAUAACGCUCUUCAAAGAUUCCAAGAUGUUCUUGCUUACUUUGAAAAUUGUAAUGAUUCACUUAAUCAUGAACAAGCUAAAAGUGAACAACUUGAACAUGAACUUGAGAAGAGUCAUGAAGCAUGUAGAGACUUAAGAUCUUCAAAACGAGAGAUUGAAGUUGCUCAUGAUAAACUUAAAAAGGAUUUUGAGGUCCUUCUCCUUGAAUGCAAUAAUGUCAAGGGGGAGCUCAUCAAAACCUCUAAGAUCUAUGAGGAGCUUCAAUCUACUCAUGAGAAGUCUCUAUUUGCUACUUACUCCUCCCAUAUUGUUGAUGAUACUUGUACAUCUAACUCUACCUCAUUUGAAGUAUCAACAUUGAAGGAGAAUAUUGAGCUAUGUGCUCAACUUGAUUUACUAACUAGCAAUUAUGGGAAGUUGGAAGAAAACCAUGUAAUGCUCACAAGCUCUCAUGCCGAUCUUUUAACAUCCUAUAAUGUGCAAAAGUUAGCUCAUGAGGCUAUCAUCACCAAGGUAACAUCAAAUAAGCCUCAUGUGGACAAUGGCACUACUUCUAGACAAAGUACUAUAUUUCCAUGUGUUAGUCCUCGUAAUUCGUCUACUCAUAAUGUUGCUACCUCGUGUGAUGAAUUACUUUCCUUGCCUUGUUGCUCUAACAAUGAAACUUACACUUCCUCUAGUAUUUUCAUUUAAACUAACCAUGCAAAGGAAAUCGAAGAGCUCAAGUCCCAAGUCACUUCUUUGAAGAAAGACUUGGAACAGUGUCAUGAAGGGAUGUCCACACUCAACAACGUCCUGUGUGAGCAAACAUCUCCGAAUGACAAAAAUGAUGUUGGAGUAAACUCAAACAAGAACAAGAGGGGCCUAGAACAAGUCAAGAAUUCGGCCAAAAUCAUUUGCUUCAAGUGCAAAGUUAAAGGGCACCAUGUUAGAUCUUGCCCUCUGAAGACGAAGUCUCAAAGUCACAAGCAACAAGGGAAGCGGACACAAACUCAAUCACACACUCAGCUACAAGUUGAAGGAAGGCCUCUUCCCAAUAAGACCCAAGCCAACACUCCCCAAGGUGAGAAAUCAACUAGGAAGAAAACAAAGGGUAGAUGUUGCUACUUAUGUCAUGAGAAGGGUCACGUCACGUCGUCUUGCACGAGAGGUAACUUAUCCAACCCAAUCACUAUUGAUGAUAUCUAUUCCCUUGGGAAGGAUAAGGUUGGCAAUGUGUUUUCCAAGUUUGUUGGUACUCAAAAUGGUGUCAAGAAAAGAACCAUUUGGGUUGCCAAGCCUAUUGUGAUUAACCUCUUAGGACCCAACGUAGUUGGGGACCAACAAGCUCAAAUUUGAUCCAUAGGUGACUAUGGAGGACAUUAGAGACUUGGAUACAUAAUGAAGAAUUAAGGGGUCUUCAUCAUUCAUAUUAUCUCAAGCCAAGUCAUUUGGAUUAUCGAGUUUCUAUCUUAUAUCCAAUGUGCCUCCUUACGGUAACUUAUACUUAAACUAUUUACAAUGUUAAGUGCUCGCCCCUUUGCAUGUUGUCGUUUUGUACCUUGCAUGCGUUUGUAUAUGGCGUGCUUCCAACUUGCUUAUCUUGAGUAAUCGAGUAUGGGUAUGUUGGUUUGUAUAUCAUGUACAUGUGAGUCUUGUAUUGAGCCUUUUUGCAUCUUGUUUAUAAUUUUUGUUGGCUUUUGUGAGAGAUUAAUGGAUUAUCCCAUUGUGGGGGAGUGAUGUGCUUUGCACACCUCACAAUCCUAUAAAUGUGUAUACAUGGAGAAUACCACUUAGUUUUGAUAAUUCAAGAUUAUCUAGUUUCUAUGUGGUAUGUCUUACUCAUGAGAAAUUCAAAUUCUAUAUGGUCCAUUAAGUAUCUCUUGUUGGUUUUAAUUUGCCACUUGUUAAUGUUGUUGGUUUAUCACAUUAUGGGGGAGUAAUAUGCUAUGUGCAUAUUACAAACCUAUAAAAUGUGUACAUUUGACGUGUUGCCACUUAGUGUUGAUAUUGUAAAUUAUCUUGUUCCUAGGUGGCAUGUUAGCUCUACAAGUGUCAUUUGCUUGCAUUUUAUGGGUAAAGAUGAUCUUGGAUAUAUUUGUGAUCUACCAAUGAGUAUCACUUCGAAAAUACUGCUUGUCCUUGACAAUUGGUAUUCCCAUCAUGUGAUAGGAAUUGCUAAUCAUCUUUACAUUGGAUUUUGUGUUUCGUUUGUCUUCCUUGCCUCUUAUUAAUCUCUUUUAACAUGUCUAGUGUUUUUAUAGAUAUAGAGAAAGUGAUGAUCCCAUCGUGUGCGUUUUGUAUUCAAAUGCAAAUUCUAUAUAAUGCACGUCCCUUGGGGGAGCUAUCCUAUUUUCUUUAGAACACUCUCUUUAUUCACCCAUCAUAAAAUCUUUUGAUCCCCAUCAAGUAUGUGUUGAUGGGAGGCAAGUCUUGCUCUUUAUGAUGCUUUGUGCCAUCAUAAAAAAUUGUCGAGGGCUUGGUUUGUUGGAACCUAGCUCUCUUUUGGAAACUAGAUACCUCGUGUUUGUUUUCCUUCAAUUGGUUUCUUGUUGCCUUCUAUUUGGCAUGUGUCAAUGGAUAUCUCAUUCCUUGAGGUAUCUUUUAAUUGAUAUCCUUCAAGUGAUAGUUCUUUUGUUUUAGGAUCUUAUUAUCACUUGAUACCUUGUCUUUUGAUGACUUAUCAACUUUGUGUUGAGUUGAUUCUUGAGAGUCUUGAGCAUGCGUAUCUAGCUACUAUAUACAACUUCUCUUGCUUGCUUUCCUUCUUUGACCCAAUAUAUAGGGGAAACUCCACCUUGUCAUAAAUUGGCUAAAGUGCGCAUGAAAUUCAAAUUCAUAUCUAUAUGCACAUAUGUAUGUGGAGUUUGUCCUAUGUAUUGCUGGUUUUCUAACUCUUUGGUCCCAAUGAGUUUGGGCACCAUUUUGUUUGUUUUGUUGUUCCAGGAACAACUGGAGAUGCAUUGGAUGCUCUGCUCACCUAUAAGGAAGAUGUUGAGACCAUGUGAUUAUUGGAGCCAAGUUAGGAUGAUCAAAGAACAACUAUCUACUACAUCAAUCCAAUGUUGUCUCGGUAACAAGUAUCCACUUCAUGCAUUCUUUUCUUGCAAAGGACCCAACCUGUCUUUUCUUUUCCAGGUUGCAUCAUGGCAUGAAUCUCUUGAUUUGUUCUCGUAGUACUUGUUUGCUUUCUCAAAGCAUCCGAACGAUGAUGUCUUACUACUAGUUGGGAUGUCUUUGAUGUUCGUAUGUUGGAAGUUCAUAUUGUACAAUAAGAAAAUAUUAGGCCAUGUGCUAUGCUUCCAAGCAAAAGAUAUCAUUGAUAUAUUUAUGACUUCCUUUUGGAUAUCUAGUUUGUUCCUUCUUGUAACCAUUUCGUGUGUACAUCCUUCUUUGUGGAUAUAUAUCAUCAUGAUUGUAUUCUACUUAGAAUAUUUUACAUAUGAGAGAAGUUACAUCUCUAAUUAAUAUCCUCUUUUCUUUCACGAUCAUCAUUGCAUUUCCUUUUUCAGCUUUUCGUGGCUUCGUAAAAAGUUUUAUUUUGAGUGCGUAUCUUACUUUCCUACAUCUUGAUGCACUCUUUGGCCGUGAAUAUUAUUUUUCCUCAUGCUUGUCUUGAUGAGGGUUUUGCCAUUUUCAAUUAGUAUCCCUCCUCUUGACAAGGUUCUUACUUCCUAUCUCCACAAUGGGUUGUCACAAGCGUUGGUUCUUAUUUUGUUUAUUAGUAAGCUUGUGAACCCAUUUUCCAGUAUGUGUGUGUGGGAAUGAUAUGUCUUGCACUUUGUAUCUCAUUUCAUCAAGACUAUGUUGAUAAGUAAUGCUCAUCCUUAUCUUAGUCUUCUCAAAUGCUUUGCCCUGACUUACACACAUUAUUUUGUUUGAGCCUAUUCUUAAGUUGCUUCUAUUACAUGUUGCUCAACCAUUUGUUUUGUCCAAUUGAUAUGCUCAUUGUCUCAUCUAUCUUCUUGCACUAGUUGUUUGUUUUAUAAAUUCUGGGGGAGCAACAAUCCUAUUUUGUGCACCUGUGUCAAAUACAAAAAUCUCAUAUUAGUGCAAAAAUCAUGGGGAGCUUCUCUAGUUUUUGAUAAAGCACUAUGUUGCCUUUAUCAUAAUAUCUUUUAUUCAUAUGGUUCGAAGGACCAUAUGAUUGUUUGUUCCAUCUGGAAUCUUUUGAUUGCUUUCCUCUAUCUUUGUAUGUCUUUGUGGCAUAUGAUCCUUUUAUUUGCAAUCUUUGGGUCCUCGAUAUAGUUUGUUUUCCUCCAACUACUUAUCAUUGUAUUUGUGUAUUUUUCUGCACUCAUUUGCUGAGAAGUACACACUUCUUGGAGGACCACCUACUAUAUUGUCUUUCUAAACUUUGUUUAGAGGGUUUUGCUUUUAUUGUGUAAGCAUUUACAUCUUGCACACAUGCAUUAUUACCUUGUAUGUGUGCGCUUGUUUAUGCUUAUUUCCUUAUAUAAACUCUCUUGAAGUGGUUGUCUUCAAUUACCAAAAUGGGGUAGAUUGUUAGAGCAUAUAUCUCCAUAUGUGGUUUUGGUAAUUGAUGACAAUUCCUAUGGACUAAUGGUUGCCUUAAGUUAUAUUUAUAGGAUUUGUCCAUAGGCACUUCUUGAAGUCCAUCUGUUAGGUUCAAGGAGUUUAUAUGAUGACCAAUAUGUUAUUCAAGGUAUUAUCCAAAGAAUGGUCAUAGAAACACUAGGUUGAUCAAGAUCUCAGACAAAGAGUAAAUCAAGAUGAUCAACACACAAAGCGUAUAAGAUGUACCGAGAGGGAUCAAGUGAUCGCAUGGUAUGGUAAGCAUUGUCCAUUACGUGUUUGUGUACUAACCCAUGGUCUUUGUGAGACUCCUAUGUGGGGGUUAGGUGUGCUUCCAUUGGGCUUGCGUCAAAAGGAAGAUCUCAUACAACCCAUGAAGGAUGACGUCAAGUGGUGGUCGUCAUCAAGAUUGUGGUGUGCAAG